UACACACAGAACAGCAGCUGAUCAUUAAUUAACGUCGUUAUCUGACACAUCGUUCAUGUGGGCCGAUGAUGAGGUGUGAUGAUGAGGUGUGAUGUCAUCGUUUGUUUCUACGUUUGCUGGAUUAAAUAAAUGAAUCAAAGUGUUCAUCAGCUUUAAACUGCUGGGAGACUGAGCCAGACUUUGUGCUAAGCUAGGCUAACACCAUCCUGACUCCUUCUCCUCCUCCUUCUCCUCCUUUCUGUCCCUAAAUAUUUGUUUUGCUCUCCGUCUCCCUCCCUCUCUUUUCUUUCUGGUUCUGGUGUCAGGUAGGAGUCGCAUCGAGCUGGUUUGAGUUUCUGAGUUUGUGUUCAGCCGGCAGAAAACGGUUUAACGGCACAGGUGUCUGGAUGGAAACACACACUUUCACACGUGUGUGUGUGUGUGUGUGUGUGUGUGUGUGUGUGUGUGUGUGUUUGUGUGUGUGUGUGUGUUUGUGUGUGUGUGUGUGUGUGUGAGCCAGCUGUGUAAACCUGUUGUGAGUCCGUCUCCAUCUGUCUUUAUUUAAAGGUGCAACACAAUGAAGCUUAAUGAGUGAACAUGUUGGAGCGCCUGCAGCAGCUGUUAGCAUGUUAGCAUGUUAGCCGUCAGUUCUCUCUGCUGUGGUGACAGCGGAGCCGCUUUAUCUCCGGAUCACAACAGAAGCAUUAUUUCUGUGUGACUUCAGGUCAGAAGUUCCUCUUUCUGUGACACUGGUCUGUUGUCGCAGCUCGCUGACGGCACAGAGCGUCUCUGUUCUGUUCUGUUCUGUUCUGUUCUGAGGAGCUGGUGUUUCUUUAUGUUCGGGCCUUUUGGUGCAGAGUUUGUGUUUCGUUGCUCUCUCCUCCUGAGGUGUUCACAGUUUCUCUCACUGUACAGUGUAAUGAAAUGUAAAUUGUAAAACACAUUGAUGCUCACAGAUACCGAGCUGGAGACGAGUCCCUGAAGAGAAGAUAGCAAUGCAGUAAAACUACAAAUAUUAAUAUCUAUGUAAGAAUAUUGUUACAGGGUAUUAUUCAAUUAUUGUCAUUCUUUAAAAGUCUGCAGAGUCUCUGAAACUCAGCUUUGGUUCUGAAAUCCUCACUCCGUCUGCAUGUGAGGACCAGACGUGAUCAUUAAAGUUAACGUUGGUGGAAUAUUUUAGGUUUUAAGAACUAAAAAUAGUCUUUUUAUGCU
rnacentral:lncRNA from 1 species